GUGUGUUCCCAUUGCCUCUUUCAGAUCACUGGCUUGGAGUUUAUCACAAUACAUUAUCAUGCCUUGCUUGUACAUAUCUGGCUAUAUUAAAGAGUCCUUGAGAACAGGGCUUAUUAUUUCUCUUUUUAUCUCUGGUGCCUAGAUUAGCAUCUAGUGCAUAGUAUGUAGUCAGUGUUUGAGUGAAUGAAUGAAUGGAAAGCAGACUGCGGUGAUCAACUGGAGUCCUCGAAGAAGCAUCUGGGUAGAGGCGAAGCCCAAGGAGAUUGCCAACUUACACACCGUCACUGCCUUGGCCUGGAAGCGGGCGGGAUGCCUCAGGACUCUGCACAGGCGCACUCUGUGGUGCAGUGGAACAGUCUGACUGCUGCCUCCGAAGGAGCAUUUACAGGAAUAAGUUUGAGCUGACCUGUGUGGGACCCAGGCAGACAGGAAACCACUGGCGAUUAUAGUGAGGAAGAGGACACAGAUUCUCUUCUUGACCAAAAUUUACUCUGGAUCCUCUGGGCGAUCUUUUUUUGUACCAAGGAUUGAACUCAAGACCUUCCAAGACAGGCACAGCACCACUGAGCUCAAGUCCCCAGCCCUGGGCCAUCUUGUCUACCAGGGACUCUGUGAGUCACAGGAAAUACACAGGUGAGUAAGACUUGGCUCAUCCUUAGGAUCAACCACUGUGGACAAAUGGCAUCCAACAAUGUCACCAUCUCCAUCAUCGCCACCAUCAUCACCAUAACCAGGAUCAUGAAUUGCUGGACACCCACUAUAAGCCAGCUCUAGGGCUAAGGAGUUAAGUAAAUUCUAUUUUUGAAACAUGCUGAUAAUGUGGAACUACAAAUUCAUCCUUCAGGGACAAAUGUCAGAGACCUCAGGUUGCCCAGGAUUGGGCUCAGUCUGCACAGAGAGAGUGGUUUGGUUCCUGUCCCUCCACACAGGGCUUCUGUGGAGAGCAUCAGUACUGCCUGUCAGACUCCUCCCUGUCCUACGAGGCUAAGGCCUGUGGCACAGCCAGCUCUGUUCACAGUCACUUCCUGCCCUCUCUCCCAGUGCCCCACUGAUCUAAGUAGCCAGAUCCCACCAUAGAUGGGACUCCUGAUGGUCACUUGUAGGAACAUAUGUGAACAUGCAUGUGUGUCUUCCCUGAGCAAACCAGAGCAAGAGCUUUUGCACACUCCCACCACCUCAGCCCCUAUGACCCUCACAUGGGGUCAUAAACUGCACUUCUGUCAGCUGCUACAGAUGAACCUCCUCGGUUUCCAUAGGCCCACCUGCCUUCCCACUCAUGCCAAGACCCCGCUCCUGUCACCCAUGCAAGCAGUUGUUCUGCAUCAGCACAAGUUUCUGCUCUAGAGGAACAUCCUCCAAAACCUACACAUAGAACAUGCUCCCUCAGAUCUAAACACUGCUUCUUUCUUGAUCCUGUCUCCCUCUUCAACUACUUUCCCCUUUCUCUCUAUAAUGAAACUCUUCAAGAGUUAUCUGUACUCCCUGUUACCAAAUCUUCACCUUCCAUUUCCUUUGAGCCCUGUAAUCAGGCUGAUGCCUGCUCUGUUCUGAGUGGUUUCAAGCUUGCUGAUGGCCUCCAUGGUGCCAAGGUUCCCAGGCCUUGCUGAAUUGGACACAGCAAGAGUACUUGAUGCAGUUCAUUUCUCCCUCCUCUCUCAAACAGUUUUCCUUUGCUUUCCUUGUGCUGGGGAUUGAACUCAGCACCUGGUGCAUGCUAAGCAUAGCACUCUACUGAGCUACAAUGCUACUGCCAAAACAGGUGUUUUGUUUCAGUUUUUGUUUUUCUUUACUGGGGUUUGAACCCAGGGUCUUUGCACUGAGCUGCAUCCCUAGUCCUUUUUUAUUUUUAUUUUGAGAGAGGGACUCACUAAGUCACCAAGUUGCCUAGGCUAAGCUUGUUGCUUGCACUGUGAUCUUCCUGCCUCUUCCUCCCAGAGUUCUGGGAUUAUAGGCAUAUACCACCAUGUCCAGCUCUUCAUUUGACUUUCAAGAUAACACUCAAUCUGAGUUUUCUCUGCCUUGUAGGGCAUUCCUUCCUGGUGUCUUCUGCUGAUUUCCCCCUCAUCUUUCAGUCUUCAAAACCGGGAACAGGUACUAUCUGCCAAGUCCCGUCCACCAUCUGGCCCUGCCACUUCUAUAAACACAAGUUGUCAGAACGAGGUCAUUUGUUUUCCUGGUCUGUGUCAGCUCAACAGAACUGAAUAGAUGAAUGGUCUGAAAGCUGAAAAUACUUCUCUCUGGUCCUGUCCAGGAAAGGUCUAAAUAGUGGAGUGCCCCAGGCUCAGGCCUUGUCUUCUCAAACCACCUUGGGCCCCUCAGGUGACCUCAUCCAGACCAGGUCCCAGGCAUCAACCAGAGGAUGGCAUGUGUCCCUUCACGUCUGCAGCCCAGGUGUCUUUUCUGAAUUCCCAACCACAUACUGCACAUAUAUCCAGCUCCCUCAGACACAUUGAGAACUUAACAGUGCUGGGCACUCAGCCCCACCCCCCCUUCCAGCAGGAAAAAACCCUGUUUCUCCUGCAUGGUUCCUACAUCUCAGCAAGUGGCAGG
rnacentral:lncRNA from 1 species